AGCUGAAAUCAGUCGAAGAUACCAGCUGGCUGCAACUGUUUAUUAAAAACACAGCACUGUGCAAACACGAAAGUGGACGUAUACGGUGUGACGCCUGCCCGGUGCCGGAAGGUUAAUUGAUGGGGUCAGCGCAAGCGAAGCUCUUGAUCGAAGCCCCGGUAAACGGCGGCCGUAACUAUAACGGUCCUAAGGUAGCGAAAUUCCUUGUCGGGUAAGUUCCGACCUGCACGAAUGGCGUAAUGAUGGCCAGGCUGUCUCCACCCGAGACUCAGUGAAAUUGAACUCGCUGUGAAGAUGCAGUGUACCCGCGGCAAGACGGAAAGACCCCGUGAACCUUUACUAUAGCUUGACACUGAACAUUGAGCCUUGAUGUGUAGGAUAGGUGGGAGGCUUAGAAGUGUGGACGCCAGUCUGCAUGGAGCCGACCUUGAAAUACCACCCUUUAAUGUUUGAUGUUCUAACGUUGACCCGUAAUCCGGGUUGCGGACAGUGUCUGGUGGGUAGUUUGACUGGGGCGGUCUCCUCCUAAAGAGUAACGGAGGAGCACGAAGGUUGGCUAAUCCUGGUCGGACAUCAGGAGGUUAGUGCAAUGGCAUAAGCCAGCUUGACUGCGAGCGUGACGGCGCGAGCAGGUGCGAAAGCAGGUCAUAGUGAUCCGGUGGUUCUGAAUGGAAGGGCCAUCGCUCAACGGAUAAAAGGUACUCCGGGGAUAACAGGCUGAUACCGCCCAAGAGUUCAUAUCGACGGCGGUGUUUGGCACCUCGAUGUCGGCUCAUCACAUCCUGGGGCUGAAGUAGGUCCCAAGGGUAUGGCUGUUCGCCAUUUAAAGUGGUACGCGAGCUGGGUUUAGAACGUCGUGAGACAGUUCGGUCCCUAUCUGCCGUGGGCGCUGGAGAAUUGAGGGGGGCUGCUCCUAGUACGAGAGGACCGGAGUGGACGCAUCACUGGUGUUCGGGUUGUCAUGCCAAUGGCACUGCCCGGUAGCUAAAUGCGGAAGAGAUAAGUGCUGAAAGCAUCUAAGCACGAAACUUGCCCCGAGAUGAGUUCUCCCUGACUCCUUGAGAGUCCUGAAGGAACGUUGAAGACGACGACGUUGAUAGGCCGGGUGUGUAAGCGCAGCGAUGCGUUGAGCUAACCGGUACUAAUGAACCGUGAGGCUUAACCUUACAACGCCGAAGGUGUUU
rnacentral:rRNA from 1 species